rnacentral:lncRNA from 1 species
CCAAAUACAUUUUUUUCUGAAUUAACCUCUAGUAAUAGAUUAUCAAUACUUAGUUUUCUUAAAUGUGUAUUGCGUUAUGUUGGUCGCUAUUUUUUCUUUCGAUGACCUGCAGUUGAUCGUAUCUUCUCCUUUUCGCUUUUUAAAUUCAUUCAAACGGUCCAUUUCGUGAUAGAAAAUAAUGACCACGCCUUCCGACCAAACAAAAUGUGUAUCUUGAAACAUUUGUGCCUUAGAUAGACAUUCUUGCCAAACAAUUAUGGUGUUCGAUGCAGGUAACCAUUGUCAUCAUAAAACAAUAAAAAUUUGAAUGAAAC